ACGGAUAUACCAUUCAUGUAAGCGCGCGAUAUCAGGCAGCUUGCGAGGCUACAUUCAGUACACUGCAAGUCACGAUAUCAACAGAGGCUCUUUUACUAAGCUCCCACUCCUCUGGGAUCCCCAUGCCCUGACUCUCCUCAAAGUCCACCAUCACUGGCCCAGCCGACACAAGGUCAAAUGGGUCAGGCAGUCCAGCACAGUCCUCCACCACCUCCUGGGGAUGGGGCUCCACGGUGGUCCUUUGUGAUGCUUGGGAGGUCGAGCAAGUGGUCUGACCCAUUGGAUUCUUAAUGUUGCCACGCCCACCACCCCCCCUCGGUCCUGUGUUACAGAAUGCCUCUGAAGACCCAGCCUGCACCCUCCAGUCACCCCCGCUGGGAGCCUCUAACCUCUGCUUCAGUCCCAGGGUGUCCUGGUCCCUCUGGGUCACUGAGGAGAGUCCCUGCUGCUGGUCCCCUUGGAGCCCGGUUAACAGACGCACAGUCUCACUCAGCACAGACUCCACUGCUGUACGCACUGCCUCCUCAAUGGCCCCGCCCAGUCUGUCCCUCAGGAAGCUGAUGGACAACUGGACAUCCAUCUUGGCACAGCUCUACCUGGCUGUCUCUGUGACUUUAGACACCAACCACAGGUUAGAGCUCUAUGGGAUGCGUUGAGGCAGGACAAAUCUGUGAAGUGAAGAGCCACCGAUGCUGCCAACCCUCUCUGCAAGAAAGUCCUUGGAUAACAAUAGUAUGCUCAAGAGCUGAAGAUGUUAAAAGACAAAAACAAAUCUUUCAUUACCCCAGGACACUACAACAGG
rnacentral:lncRNA from 1 species